UUGCUUUGGCAUCACAAAUACUAAAGUUAAAAACAACACAGAGAAAUAAGCCUGGCCCCUGCACAAGAUUGACAGACAAUUUUAUAGAGUGUUAUAUAAUUUUA